GGAAUAUUGGUCAAUGGGCGAGAGCCUGAACCAGCCAUGCCGCGUGCAGGAAGACGGCCCUAUGGGUUGUAAACUGCUUUUAUACGGGAAGAAACCCAUCUACGUGUAGGUGGCUGACGGUACCGUAAGAAUAAGGAUCGGCUAACUCCGUGCCAGCAGCCGCGGUAAUACGGAGGAUCCAAGCGUUGUCCGGAUUUAUUGGGUUUAAAGGGUGCGUAGGCGGAUUAUUAAGUCAGAGGUGAAAGCCGGUAGCUCAACUAUCGAAUUGCCUUUGAAACUGAUAGUCUUGAGUAUUGUUGAGGUAGGCGGAAUGUAUCAUGUAGCGGUGAAAUGCAUAGAUAUGAUACAGAACACCGAUUGCGAAGGCAGCUUACUAAGCAAUAACUGACGCUGAGGCACGAAAGCGUGGGGAUC
rnacentral:rRNA from 1 species